rnacentral:rRNA from 1 species
AAAUUGAAGAGUUUGAUCAUGGCUCAGAUUGAACGCUGGCGGCAGGCCUAACACAUGCAAGUCGAACGGUAACAGGAAGCAGCUUGCUGCUUUGCUGACGAGUGGCGGACGGGUGAGUAAUGUCUGGGAAACUGCCUGGUGGAGGGGGAUAACUACUGGAAACGGUAGCUAAUACCGCAUAACGUCGCAAGACCAAAGAGGGGGACCUUCGGGCCUCUUGCCAUCGGAUGUGCCCAGAUGGGAUUAGCUAGUAGGUGGGGUAACGGCUCACCUAGGCGACGAUCCCUAGCUGGUCUGAGAGGAUGACCAGCCACACUGGAACUGAGACACGGUCCAGACUCCUACGGGAGGCAGCAGUGGGGAAUAUUGCACAAUGGGCGCAAGCCUGAUGCAGCCAUGCCGCGUGUAUGAAGAAGGCCUUCGGGUUGUAAAGUACUUUCAGCGGGGAGGAAGGGAGUAAAGUUAAUACCUUUGCUCAUUGACGUUACCCGCAGAAGAAGCACCGGCUAACUCCGUGCCAGCAGCCGCGGUAAUACGGAGGGUGCAAGCGUUAAUCGGAAUUACUGGGCGUAAAGCGCACGCAGGCGGUUUGUUAAGUCAGAUGUGAAAUCCCCGGGCUCAAC